GAGUUAAUUUUAUCUCUAUUCUGGUGCGGCUGCUGCUGAAAUGCUGUGUCCAGUUCCAGUGUCCACAAUGCAAGAAGGGUGUUAAUAAAUCAGAGAG